rnacentral:rRNA from 1 species
UACCUACAGCUCGAGUGGUAACCGUUAUUAUUGGGCCUAAAGCGUCCGUAGCCGGUUUGGUAAAUAUCUGGGUAAAUCGUGAGGCUUAACUUCACGAAUUUCGGAUAGACUGCCAGACUUGGGAUCGGGGGAGGUCAGAGGUACUCCAGGGGUAGCGGUGAAAUGUUGUAAUCCUUGGAGGACCACCGGUAGCGAAGGCGUCUGACUAGAACGAGUCCGACGGUGAGGGACGAAGCCCUGGGGCGCAAACCGGAUUAGAUACCCGGGUAGUCCAGGGUGUAAACGAUGUGGGCUUUGUAUUGGAGGUCCCACGUGGGCGUCCAGUGCAGAAGAGAAGUUGUUAAGCCCACCGCCUGGGAAGUACGGUCGCAAGGCUGAAACUUAAAGGAAUUGGCGGGGAGCACAGCAACGGGAGGAGCGUGCGGUUU